CUCCCAAACCCCUGUGAACAUACCUUAUGUUGCCUCGGCGGAUCAGCCCGCGCCCCGUAAAAAGGGACGGCCCGCCGCAGGAACCCUAAACUCUGUUUUUAGUGGAACUUCUGAGUAUAAAAAACAAAUAAAUCAAAACUUUCAACAACGGAUCUCUUGGUUCUGGCAUCGAUGAAGAACGCAGCAAAAUGCGAUAAGUAAUGUGAAUUGCAGAAUUCAGUGAAUCAUCGAAUCUUUGAACGCACAUUGCGCCCGCCAGUAUUCUGGCGGGCAUGCCUGUUCGAGCGUCAUUUCAACCCUCAAGCCCAGCUUGGUGUUGGGAGCUGCAGUCCUGCUGCACUCCCCAAAUACAUUGGCGGUCACGUCGAGCUUCCAUAGCGUAGUAAUUUACAUAUCGUUACUGGUAAUCGUCGCGGCCACGCCGUUAAACCCCAACUUCUGAAUGUUGACCUCGGAUCAGGUAGGAAUACCCGCUGAACUUAAGCAUAUCAAUAAGCGGAGGAAAAGAAACCAACAGGGAUUGCCCUAGUAACGGCGAGUGAAGCGGCAACAGCUCAAAUUUGAAAUCUGGCUUUCGGGCCCGAGUUGUAAUUUGUAGAGGAUGAUUUUGAUGCGGUGCCUUCCGAGUUCCCUGGAACGGGACGCCAUAGAGGGUGAGAGCCCCGUCUGGUUGGAUGCCAAAUCUCUGUAAAUCUCCUUCGACGAGUCGAGUAGUUUGGGAAUGCUGCUCUAAAUGGGAGGUAUAUGUCUUCUAAAGCUAAAUACCGGCCAGAGACCGAUAGCGCACAAGUAGAGUGAUCGAAAGAUGAAAAGCACUUUGAAAAGAGAGUUAAAAAGUACGUGAAAUUGUUGAAAGGGAAGCGUUUAUGACCAGACUUGGGCUUGGUUAAUCAUCUGGGGUUCUCUCCAGUGCACUUUUCCAGCCCAGGCCAGCAUCAGUUUUCGCCGGGGGAUAAAGACUUCGGGAAUGUGGCUCCCCUCGGGGAGUGUUAUAGCCCGUUGUGUAAUACCCUGG
rnacentral:ncRNA from 2 species